AAUUCCAAAAUGGGUAAAUCGACUCGCAAGAAUAGGUUCACUUUGCAAUUGCAUACUCCCAGAGGCCCUUAAGGCAACCACAGUAAGACAUGAACAUAAUUUCCAAGAAUGUGAUAAUGAAAAGAAGAGACUAAGAAGUGGCUUCAGCUGCUGGUCAUCAAUCUCAAUGCCUCAGAGGGAAGUAUCUCUGUCUUCAUUGUUUCUACAUUCUCACUAUAAAGGCUGCCUACCACCAUGGGAGUUAAAGAGGUCCAGAAAAGGUUCACUGAAGGAAGGUUAAAAAGACAUCAUCUACAUAUGCUUUGACAAAAUGGAAGGAUUACCUGUUGCCACUACGCAAUUUUCCGGAAUUGGGCAAUAUCAACAUUUCCCAUUGUCCAUGAUCCUGCUGGAAGUAAAGUCUGUUCCAGUUUGUUUUUUUGAAUGCCAAAACGGGGGCUUCGCACUUCUCAUCAUGUUUUCUGCUAAGCUGCAUCUUUGGCAUUUGCUUGCUUUCUUUGUGAGAUUGUAUUUUGAUACUGUGCAUUCAUAUUUAAAUAGCUGGAGAUGAACCAAUGUAGAUUAUUAUAUUGCCUUAUUCUAAGUCCCCCAUAACUCUUUUAUUAACAUUCUUGUGCUCCCACUACAAUUGGGUUUAGCAGGGAAAAUUAAAACAACUCAGUUGCCUCCUGUAGCAACUGCUUAAGGAAAACAAAAUGUAAAAAGAUACUAGUUUUUGAGAAUCAAAACAGCAAGAA
rnacentral:misc_RNA from 1 species